GUCCACGCCCUAAACUAUGUCAACUGGUUGUUGGGAAGGUUCCUUCUCAGUAACGAAGCUAACGCGUGAAGUUGACCGCCUGGGGAGUACGGCCGCAAGGUUGAAACUCAAAGGAAUUGACGGGACCCGCACAAGCGGUGGAUGAUGUGGUUUAAUUCGAUGCAACGCGAAAAACCUUACCUACCCUUGACAUGUCAAGAAUCUUGCAGAGAUGUGAGAGUGCUCGAAAAGAGAACUUGAACACAGGUGCUGCAUGGCCGUCGU
rnacentral:rRNA from 1 species